UACAGAGGGGGCAAGCGUUGUUCGGAAUUACUGGGCGUAAAGGGCGCGUAGGCGGCCUGCUAAGUCGAACGUGAAAUCCCUCGGCUCAACCGGGGAACUGCGUCCGAUACUGGCGAGGCUUGAAUCCGGGAGAGGGAUGUGGAAUUCCAGGUGUAGCGGUGAAAUGCGUAGAUAUCAGGAGGAACACCGGUGGCGAAGGCGGGUCUCUGGGCCGUAACUGACGCUGAGGAGCGAAAGCAUGGGGAGCGAACAGG
rnacentral:rRNA from 1 species